UCACCCUUCAAGCCCUGCGCUUGGUGUUGGACGGCUUGGUCGCAUAUCUCGUUCGACCCCUCCCAAAGACAAUGACGGCGGCCCGCGGUUCCCCCGGUACACUGAGCUUUUUAACUGAGCACGUAUCGGACAAGGGCGCCCGGGUCACGGUCCUCUCCCGUAACGGGAAACACUUUUAACUAA
rnacentral:misc_RNA from 1 species